rnacentral:rRNA from 1 species
GGUCAAGUUAUUAAGGGUGCAGGGCGGAUGCCUUGGCACUAGGAGCCGAUGAAGGACGUGAUAAGCUGCGAUAAGCUUCGGGGAGUUGCACGUAAACUUUGAUCCGAAGAUUUCCGAAUGAGGAAACUCACUUAGAGUAAUGUCUAAGUAUCAUUAAGUGAAUACAUAGCUUAAUGAGGGGAACUCAGGGAACUGAAACAUCUAAGUACCUGAAGGAAGAGAAAGAAAUUCGAUUCCGUAAGUAGCGGCGAGCGAACGCGGAUUAGCCCAAACCAAUAAAGUUUUCUUUAU